rnacentral:rRNA from 1 species
CUGUCGCUGACCCUUCGAAAGGUCGUGCACGCUCGAGCACUCUCAUAAAUCCAUCUCACCCCUUUGUGCAUCACCGCGUGGGUUCCCUUUGCAGGAGGGCCCACGUUUUCACACAAAACUUGAUACAGUGUAGAAUGUUAUUUUUGCGGUCACACGCAAUCAAUACAACUUUCAACAACGGAUCUCUUGGCUCUCGCAUCGAUGAAGAACGCAGCGAAAUGCGAUACGUAAUGUGAAUUGCAGAAUUCAGUGAAUCAUCGAAUCUUUGAACGCACCUUGCGCCCCUUGGCAUUCCGAGGGGCACACCCGUUUGAGUGUCGUGAAAUUAUCAAAAACCCUUUUCUGUUUACUGAAAAGGAUUUUUGGACUUGGAGGUUUAAUGCUUGCCUUUCACAUUUGAAAGUGAGCUCCUCUCAAAUGAAUUAGUGGGGUCCGCUUUGUCGGUCCUUGACGUGAUAAGAUGUUUCUA